UUCACAUAAAAGUAGUCUGAACCUGGGUCUGAACCAGAGUCUUCCGGAACGUUAGUGUGAACGAAGGUUUACUUUAUUUACCAUAAAAUACACUGAACAAAAGCAUUUUUUUUGUUUUGCUCGAAUGGAAACACAUGAAAAGCAUGAAAAUGACGAAAAGAUAAAAGAUGGAAAUAUGGAAAAUACCCGAUCAACUGUGGCAAUGGUGGGCGAACACCGCGGGAAGACGGAGUUGUCUCAGCUCAGCAUCAGAAGGAUCAGGAGUGAAGGGAGUUUUUGCUAGCACCACUCCUAACACGGCUGACGGCUAGCAGCGCCCGCGGCGGUCACGAUUACGAUCAAACCCUGACGUCAGUUCAGUGCGUAUCAGGACCAAGUUUAUUCCUUGAGAAAAAUGGGAAAUCCAUCUGCUAGAGGUCGGUUUCGUUUGGCUUGCGGACAACUUCAACAAUCUGAAGGAUCAGCUUGAGAAAGUGUUCCAAUUUGCGAUCGAUUUCAAACAAAAACACCGUUUGCCAGUGUUGUUCCCAUACUGUUUAUAACUUUUACAAGUACUCCGAAAAAGUAUACGAAUUAAUCAGCGAAAGCUGGCAAGUAAAAUAAUCGGUGACUAAAACUCUGCCAUUGAUGGUAUCAAGGCCAGAUCAAGGGCAUUUUGUUCAUGAGUGUUGUAGCAGAAUCAAUUUUACCGAGUAGCACCAUUGAAAUCCUUCAGAAGUUGAGCUUAUUCUGCGUCUCGACGCGUGAGACCGAGCGGAAACGAGUGCCACAAUGUAACUGUUUGAAUAUUUGAAAUAGCUGGUCCUAUUGAAUACAUAUAUAGGGGUAAGA